rnacentral:sRNA from 1 species
UCUGCCUCUGUUCUGGGAUUAAAGCCAUGGAGACAGCAUCCUGUCAGGAGACCUGGGCCGGAGUAACGCCAACACCUUAGUGAUCCAAGUCAUCACGGGUGGACUCCUGCAAUGACAGAUCUGUUGCUAUGUUCCCUGCUAAACCAGCAAGGGUCACAGGGUUUCAUUGCUGUGAAGAGA